AUGCCUUGUGAUAAAGGUACAAUAAUUUCAUCAUAAUUACAAUAGAAAAGAAAUAAAAAAGGAAUUAUGAUAUAAU
ncrna:unclassified sequences dfrA-dnaX RNA